rnacentral:rRNA from 1 species
UACAGAGGGGGCAAGCGUUAUUCGGAAUUAUUGGGCGUAAAGGGCGCGUAGGCGGCUUUGCAAGUGGCGGGUGAAAUCCCUCGGCUUAACCGAGGAACUGCCUGUCAAACUGCAUGGCUUGAGACCGGGAGAGGUGAGUGGAAUUCCCAGUGUAGCGGUGAAAUGCGUAGAUAUUGGGAGGAACACCAGUGGCGAAGGCGGCCUCACGUGACCGGUACUGACGCUGA